UACGGAGGGAGCUAGCGUUGUUCGGAAUUACUGGGCGUAAAGCGCACGUAGGCGGCUUUGUAAGUUAGAGGUGAAAGCCUGGAGCUCAACUCCAGAACUGCCUUUAAGACUGCAUCGCUUGAAUCCAGGAGAGGUGAGUGGAAUUCCGAGUGUAGAGGUGAAAUUCGUAGAUAUUCGGAAGAACACCAGUGGCGAAGGCGGCUUGCCAGAA
rnacentral:rRNA from 1 species